AAGCAUGUUGGCAGCAAAUGGAUGCUUAAAGUAAAUGUUGGGAGAAGUCUAGGUUAGCAUUCAAUAGUAGAACGCAACCCACGCCUUUUAUUUCAACCCAUCGCCAAUGCUCAUGCAAUGGCAUAUUUGAUGUAGAAGAGGUUGCGACAGUCACAAUGCAAUUACUCAAACAAGGACAAGGGCCCUCUCCCUUCCGAUACUUUCACC
rnacentral:misc_RNA from 1 species